UCAAACUUGGUCAUUUAGAGGAAGUAAAAGUCGUAACAAGGUUUCCGUAGGUGAACCUGCGGAAGGAUCAUUACCGAGUAAGGGUUUGCCCCCCACAAGGGGCGCCCGACCUCCCAACCCUGUGUCUACACUACCUUGUCGUUGCUUCGGCGGACCGGUUACCGACCAACUGGUUCCAACGACCGCCGGGGUCGGCCUAGCCGCCCUGGAGAGCUGUCCGCCGAUGGCCAUCUACACAAACUCUUGAACAAAACCAUGUCGUCUGAAUCUAUUUUAUUGAUUAAACAAAUCAAACCAAAACUUUCAACAACGGAUCUCUUGGUUCUGGCAUCGAUGAAGAACGCAGC
rnacentral:misc_RNA from 1 species